rnacentral:rRNA from 1 species
AAGGAAUAUUGGACAAUGGUCGCAAGACUGAUCCAGCCAUGCCGCGUGCAGGAAGACGGCCCUAUGGGUUGUAAACUGCUUUUGUACCAGAGAAAGCCUAUCUACGUGUAGAUAGCUGAUAGUAUGGUUAGAAUAAGCAUCGGCUAACUUCGUGCCAGCAGCCGCGGUAAGACGAAGGAUGCAAGCGUUAUCCGGAUUCAUUGGGUUUAAAGGGUGCGUAGGCGGGCUUGUAAGUCAGUGGUGAAAUCUCUCAGCUUAACUGAGAAACUGCCAGUGAUACUGCAGGCCUAGAGUAUAGAUGACGUUGGCGGAAUAUGACAUGUAGUGGUGAAAUACUUAGAUAUGUCAUAGAACACCGAUUGCGAAGGCAGCUAACGAAACUAUAACUGACGCUGAGGCACGAAAGUGCGGGGAUCAAACA